AGCUCUUGGAAGCAGGAAAAUGUCUACUAGCUUCAAAAGUUCAGGAGGCUCCAUUUAAUUUAAUCUGACCUCCCUUUGAAUGCAGCGCCUAACAUUUUUUUUUUUUUUAAUUUAAAUUUUAGUCGACAUCCAGUGCCAUAUUGGUUUCAGGAGUAGAAUUCAGUGAUUCAUCACUUAUAUACGACACCCUGUGCUCAUCACAACAGGUGCCCUCCUUAGUACCUCUCACCCAUCUGGCCCAUCCCCCACCCACUUCCUGGGUCAAACCUCAGUUUGUUCUCUACCCUUAUGAGUCUCUUAUGGUUUGCUUCCCUCUCUCUUCCCCCGCCUCUUCCCAUAAGUUCAUCUGUUUGGUUUCUUAAAUUCCACAUACGACUGAAAUCCUAUGGUAUUUGUCUAUCUCUGGUUGACUUAUUUCCCUCGCAUUUUUAUUUGUAGUGGUGGGCACUGUAGUUUUUCUCUCUCUGGUUCCACUGUCUCUAGAUUUUUCCAUUCAACUUUCCCAAUAACGUAACAAUACUUUCACACGAGGCCCCGUGAGAGCACUGACACGACAGGCAGAGGCAGGUCUUGGCCCCGAGGGGCUCAUAAACGGACGCAGACAGAUGCUUGCUUACAGAAUGUGAUCCUGUUCAGAUAAAAUAGGAUGCCAUUUGAAAUCUAGCCUCUUAUUCAAGUUUUUUUUUUUUAGACAAUUGUUGCCAUUUUAUUUAUAGCUAAUUUCUCAUUUCCAGCACUUUUCCUGUCCAAGUCAAAACUGGUUCUCUUCCACAUCCAAAGUGUGUGGGGACGACAAGAGACACUGGCUCAUCACCCGGCUCCCAGAGAAACACAAUGGAGGCAACCACCAGGGUCUGCUGGCAUAACGUCAGGAGAGUCAGAAAUCACCAGGAGUGGUGAACUGAGGACGGUCUAGAACCAGGGAUUGGUUUGGAUCGGAGGAACCACACCAAAGCUGGUUUCCAGGAGGACCCGGACUUGGGAGCAGAAUGGAGACAGGAGGCACGAGGUCUCGGAGGAAGUGCUACGACGUCUGGCUGCUGCCCAAAUAAAACCUUUACCUCAAGCUACGCAUUCGAAACUGGAAGAAGGCAUUCGUUCUUGCCUAGGGAGAGCCUUCCUGGGAGGUGGCUCAUCAAACCCUCAUGCCCCCUUAAAAAACCUUCAUCAAAUUUCCACCACGCAAAGGUUGAAGUGUUUCGGUCACCGAAGCGGUUCAGUGAUGAUCGCGGUGGCUGUUUCUUACAGGGGAUACUCGUCCAUUCAUUCAUUCAUUCAUUCAUUAGUUCGUUCAUUCAACAGACAUGUAGCAAGUUCUGCAGUGUGACAGACAUUGCGCCUGAAGGCAGAGCAAACACAGUCACCGUUGCGGCCAUCUCGGAAACUCGCAUCGAAUAAAUCAUAAACAAACGUAAUCUUGCCACACUCACCUGAAUAAAAGGCACAGACCUGACCUCUAUGUUCA
rnacentral:lncRNA from 1 species